rnacentral:rRNA from 1 species
AGUGGUGCAUGGUUGUCGUCAGCUCGUGUCGUGAGAUGUUGGGUUAAGUCCCGCAACGAGCGCAACCCUCGACCUUAGUUGCCAGCAUUCAGUUGGGCACUCUAAGGUGACUGCCGGCUAAAAGUCGGAGGAAGGUGGGGAUGACGUCAAAUCAUCAUGCCCCUUAUGACCUGGGUUACACACGUGCUACAAUGGGCGGUACAAAGGGUCGCGAACCCGCGAGGGGGGAGCCAAUCCCAAAAAGCCGCUCUCAGUUCGGAUUGCAGGCUGCAACUCGCCUGCAUGAAGCCGGAAUCGCUAGUAAUCGCGGAUCAGCAUGCCGCGGUGAAUACGUUCCCGGGCCUU